GAUCAUGGCUCAGAAGGAACGCUAGCUAUAUGCUUAACACAUGCAAGUCGAACGUUGUUUUCGGGGAGCUGGGCAGAAGGAAAAGAGGCUCCUAGCUAAAGUUGUCUCGCCCUGCCUGCAGGGCGCGCGCAACGGCUUUGACCUAACGGCCUCCGUUUGCUGGAAUCGGAAUAGUUGAGAACAAAGUGGCGAACGGGUGCGUAACGCGUGGGAAUCUGCCGAACAGUUCGGGCCAAAUCCUGAAGAAAG
rnacentral:rRNA from 1 species